CUAAUUUAUACUUUUCAUUACACCUCAUGGGUGGGCCCUCUUUUAUUACAGGCCUACCACGACGUCAGUUCUGGCACACCACAACCGACUUACCCCUUUCCUACACGGCCUUAUUUGCCCCUCACACAAUUUAUUUUAAGAAGUUCAACAAACCCUAUAUUGAAUCUAUCCAUCAUGAUGUUCCACUCUGUCACAAAAUAGUAUGUACUUUGUUAAAUGUCUGGGUUUUAGUGAACAGAAAACUGCUACAGAGGAUUUUCUCCCUCUGAUGGGAAGCUUUGUCCCACUAAAUGUUGCUCUUGCCCCUUUUUUCCUGAUGUGUUAUAAUGUCCUUUUAUUGUGAGGUUUUUUUCCAUGUGUGGAAACCCAUUUGUUUCCUUUGAGCGCAAAUGUUUUAUGGGAUCACAGUCCGCGAGCAGUGAUUACCUGACCAAAAACAAUCCUG